CUGAUAUUCUUCUGUGGUCUCUGCAUUUCCAAAUAUCUCUGCAUGUUUCACGCCUUUCAAACUGUCUCUUGACACGAAGCGGAAUCAUUUCUCACAAGCGAGUGUCCGCGUGGACGUGAGGAUGGGACACACCUUGUUUGGUGCGUUGGGGCUUUUCUCGCUGAAUAUUCUCCUCUACUGUGGACACGCUCAAGGUCUCUAUACAACUUUCUUUAUUUUGAUACAUUCACUCAAGACAAUUAAACACCUUCUAUAUUCUUCUCUAUUUUGCAUUUAAUAUUUCUGUUCUCUUUAGUUCAUUUAUGAUGAAUACAAGAAAGAAGACAAUAUUCAUUCUUUGCAUGUUGUGUU
ensembl:lncRNA